GCCUGGGUGGCUCAGUCGGUUAAGCGUCUGACUUCAGCUCAGGUCACCAUCUCGCGGUCCGUGAGUUCGAGCCCCACGUCAGGCU
rnacentral:tRNA from 1 species